rnacentral:rRNA from 1 species
UACGGGGGGAGCAAGCGUUGUUCGGAUUUACUGGGCGUAAAGGGCGCGUAGGCGGCCACCGCAAGUCGACUGUGAAAUCUCCGGGCUUAACCCGGAAAGGUCAGCCGAUACUGCGGGGCUAGAGUGCAGAAGGGGCAGCUGGAAUUCUCGGUGUAGCGGUGAAAUGCGUAGAUAUCGAGAGGAACACCUGCGGCGAAGGCGGGUUGCUGGGCUGACACUGACGCUGAUGCGCGAAAGCCAGGGGAGCGAACGGG